rfam:Musa acuminata subsp. malaccensis Doubled-haploid Pahang (DH-Pahang) genomic chromosome, chr5
CAGUCACUAUGAUGUUGGCCCGGCUCGAUCAGAAAGCACCACCAUGCACGGCUAAGCAAAAGACGACAUCCACUGCAUUCUGAUUGAGCCGCGCCAAUAUCUUAGUAACUUUU